CUUCACUAUACUGGGGCAUUAGGACUGACACAGACUUCAGGUUGAGACCUGCUGGCUUUACUAACACCACUUCCAACAGCAACCUAGUUUUCCCAUGUGCUUUCCCAUCCAGAAACUGACCAGGUUCAGCCCUACUUAACUUUAGUGAGUAACCGGUCUUGGGCUGCAGGGUGAUAUGGCUGUGGCAACUAUAUAUAAUGUAAAUAUUUCAAGGGUUUUCUGCUACAUAUUCCUGUAGGACUUCUCAUUUAUGUUAUAUAAAUCCAAACAAGUCUUAAUACAAAUCUUAUUUUAAGCUGUUGGAGAGAUUUUAGACAUAAGUUGACAACCAUUUUACUUGCAUAUGUAAAUGAGGGCAUGACAUUUUAAUGAAAAGAUCUGUUUUUCAUUUGUGGAUUUUUUUCCCCAAAUAAACGACCACCCAUAUACAUUAUGACGCGAUCGUGAGGUUUUAAGACCAUAAGCUCAAGAUGUGAGGCUGAGAUUCCAUUAUGCAAGUUGAGAAGGACGACACAAGGAGGGCUCACAUUUCAAACACACGUGGAAAAUUUGGCAAGAGCCCCCACAGAAGCCAGAAUAAAAGAAAACACACAACAUCAAAGAAAACAGGCUUCCCAAAAAGGGCAAGAAGCCUAGCUUUCCCCAUUCCCCAAAACAAUGACCGGGGCACAGGUCUCAGAACUUUUCACGUUAACACGAUGUCAAGCAAAUCAAACAGGGCUUCAGAGGAUGGUUUCUCAUUUGGUUGAGAAAGUCCUAAGGGAGUGUGCUUCAGUGCUUGUAAUUACUGUUUCCACAUUUGGAGUGUCGAACAGAUUGAAGACUCUGAAGCUCUGUGUUUGGACCCACCCAACAGUCUGACUGAAUGCAAUGAUUUGGACUUGAAGAAGGAAAAAAAUCACUUGUUUGUCACAAAGGAGACACAAAGGGGGAUGAAAAAUGUGAAGAAUUCCAAUCAGUUGGUUUUGGGUGUGUCCAGAGUGAGACUCAACACUCAUUUACAGAAUAAAGGUACAGUGAGAUUUACAUGUGACCAGUCAAGCUUUGCACAAGCCACUUUCACCAAAACCAAAGUCCCAACUAUACUCCCCUCUUGACAACAUGACCUGCAGACUGAGAAAAAGACAAUAUUGAUGAGUGUGUUUCUAAGAAGGGAAAACCAGCAUGGAGAAGCUAUUUUUAUGCUCUGUGUUUGUACAACAAGCAUGAAAACCUGACAAGUAAAAAACCUUGAACCUUU